UAAAGGAAGAAGAAGACGAAAGAAAAGAAGAAGAAAAAAAAGAAGAAGAGACUCCAGGGAUGUAAGGUGCAAACCUUCGUGCCUUAUGCCGACUGACACGGAUUUCUAAUCGAUGCAAUUACGUUAAUUCGUAAACGGGGAAAAAUAGUUGCCACGCUAUCGAAUGCAUCGCCAGGAAUAUAUGACGCGAUCAAAGGUCGGCAUGCAAAUUACGGACGGUUAAGGCGAGUCGCUGCAUUACGAAGGCUUUCAUUUUCUCUUCAUUCAUCAUCAUCAUCAUCAUCAUCAUCAUCAUCAU